GUGGGGAAGCACAUGCAUGAUGCAGAACGUGUGUGGAAACCAGAGGACAACCAGAGUUGUUUUUCUCUUUCCAUUGUGUGGGUCCUAGGGAACAAACAGAUCAGCCUUAGCAGUUAGCAUUUUUACCUUCUGACACAUCUUCCAACUCUCCAAAACCAAUUUUUAAUGACUAUGUUGUUAAGAUCUCUAGAUGUCCUUUCUUGGUUUGUGUGUACAGGGGCAGAUUUAUUGGCACCAUCUCAGAUAUCCACCACUGGGAUUACAGCACUGACUUAUCAUGAUUGUGAUGGGGUUCUGACUCAGGUCCUCAGGUGAGCAUCGCAAACACAUUAUCUAUCAUGCCCUCUCCCCAUCAGCAACUUGUUUUGACCCAUCCUCACUGUCCUCCCCUCUCCUCACUCUCCUCUCCACUCCUCACUCUCCUCCCCCUCCUCACUCUCCUUCUUCUCUUUGUUGUCUUUUUCUUUUAGGUAAGAUCUCACCGUGUAACCAGGACUGGCCCUAAGCUCUCACAUUUGCCUGCCUCCGUCUCCUGAGUGCGGGCUAAAAAUGGGCAACACCGUGACUGGCUCCUCUUCAGUUUGGCAGCUUUGUUACCCUAAGAUUCAGUCCCCCUUGAAGUAGCAGCUAUGGGGAGGGCUACCAGUUACUUACAGAAGGACUUCAUGCAGGUUCUCCAAAGACAUCACCAGCAGGUCCCCUGCAGAUGGCCAAGCCCUUUCUCUGAACACAGCUUGAAAAGGCACCGUGCAGAAUGGAAAGACAGGAUCAGCAUUAAUCAUCCCAGAACAGCUCAGACCAGCUUUGCAGGGGAGAAGUGGGCUGCAGGGAAGAUUGGCAGCUGGGGACCUGCUGUCAAGAGACUCCGGGGUGGAGGCUUCUGCUAGGUUAAGGAGCCAGUGUUUGGACUCAGUUCCCAAGGGUGUACACUGUCUGCUGUUCUCCCCUGCAGAGACCAGACUGAAGUCCCAAGCAAGGCAGUCCCUAGGCCAAAGUCCAGAAGAUGGAAGGGGCGGGGGAGGGGUGAAGGGGGGAGGGGGAGCCUAUAAGGCUGCUGAGUGUUGUCCAUGUGUUUACCAAGGAAGAGCCAAAAUAAAUCCUAUACUAUCAUUUGAGCCUCAGCUGUUCCCCAAAGCCCAUAUGCUAAAAGUUUGGUCACCAAGGUAUGGCACAGUUGGGAGCACAAGCCUAGUGGGAGGAAGUGAGGCUAUUGGAGGC
rnacentral:lncRNA from 1 species